UACGUAGGGAGCAAGCGUUGUCCGGAAUCAUUGGGCGUAAAGCGCGCGUAGGCGGCCCCGUAAGUCCGCUGUGAAAGUCAAAGGCUCAACCUUUGAAAGCCGGUGGAUACUGUGGGGCUAGAGUCCGGAAGAGGCGAGUGGAAUUCCUGGUGUAGCGGUGGAAUGCGCAGAUAUCAGGAGGAACACCAAUAGUGAAGGCAGCUCGCUGGGACGGUACUGACGCUAAGGCGCGAAAGCGUGGGGAGCGAACAGG
rnacentral:rRNA from 1 species